rnacentral:rRNA from 1 species
AUGCCAACCCGAGACCCUCGCCGUGGCUCCCCACCGGAGCCGUUCAUCGGCGUCAGCAUGGAGCACGCGGAGGACCUCCUGCAGGGCCACGGCUUCGGCCCCGAGAUGCUGGGGGUCGGCUUGGACAUGAUGAGAACCGUCGUCCACCGCUCCCUCCCCAAGCCGCCCGUCUCCACCGCCGUCCCUCUCUCGCUCGCCGGCGCGGCUUGGGUCCCCGGCGGCGCCGACCGCAUCAGCGCCCUCCCAGAACACGUCCUCCAGGACAUCAUCUCCCGCCUCCCCGCGGCGGACGCUGCGCGCACCUCGGCGCUCGCCUCGCGCUGGCGCCCCCUCUGGCGCUCGGCGCCCCUCGUCGUCGCCGACACCCACUUCCUUCCCAACGGACGGCAGAUCGCGCUCGGCGUCGGCGAGGAGGAAUCGCCCGGGCUCGCCGACCUCGUCACCCGCGUGCUCGCGGCGCACCCGGGGCCCUUCCGCUGCGUCCACCUAACCCGCACCGCCAUGGACGCGCACCGGGGAGAGAUCGCGCGCUGGCUCGACGUCCUCGCCGCCAAGGGCGUCCAAGAGCUCGCCUUCAUUAACCGCCCGUGGCCGCUCGACAUCCGCCUCCCCGCCACGCUCUUCCGCUGCGCCCCCCUGACGCGCCUCUUCCUCAGCGCCUGGAGGCUCCCGGACACGGCCGCCGUACCGCGCUCCGCCGCCUUCCCCAACCUCCGGGAGCUCGGCCUCUCCCUCGUCGCGAUGGAGGACCGCGACCUCGCCUUCCUGCUCGACAGAAGCCCCGUCCUGGAGAUCCUCACCAUCGUUGCGGCUCAGGGCGGAGUGCGCCUCCGCCUUAUCAGCCACAGCGUGCGGUGCGUUCAGCUCUGCUAUUCCAUCCUGGAGGACAUCUUGGUGGUGGACGCCCCUCGCCUGGAGAGGCUCUUGCAGUGGACUUGGGGCCUCGGCAGUAACUCCGACAAGUGCUGCAGGGUCAAGAUUGGCCAUGCACCCAACCUGCGUGCUAUUGGAUACCUUCAACCAGGAGAGCAUGACUUGGAGAUUGGCAACACCGCUAUCAAGGCUGGGACUAAGUUGAGCACCAGCACCCUUGUCCCGAGUGUCCAGAACUUGGCCUUGGAACUCACAUUCCAAGUUCGCAAUGACCUCAAGAAGGUGCAUAACUUCCUCCGAUGUUUUCCCAACAUCGAGACGCUCCAUAUUAGGUCCGAAAAGGCUCGUGGGGAGUCUACUGGCAAGGUCGGUCUCAAGUUUUGGCUCGAGGGCGGUCCCAUUGCGUGUAUCCGGCAGCACUUGAAGAAGAUAAUUUUCCAUGACUUCCGAGGGUCGACAAAUGAAACUGCUUUCCUCAAGUUCAUCGCUGAGAAUGCUCGGGUGCUGGAGAAUAUGGUUAUUGUGGUGUCCGAUUGGUUGUUGUCUUCGGGAGUUGAUGUGCGUGCUAUACUGAAGCAUCUGACUUGUGCAAAAUGGGCCAGCGGAGCUUGUAAGUUUCAAGUUUUCAAGAGCAUACUCAGGGAAGGGGAGCGUCCGGUUUAUGGGGUCCGACUAGCUUCUGAGGUUUUGCCAUCCGACCCUUUUGACAAGAUCUACUAUCGUGAACCACUGUUGUAG